UUUUUUUUUUUUAUGCAUCAUACACAUCCCGAGAGGUCCAUACAGAUUCCCACUACCAUGUGUGUCAAUGGAAUGUAAAUCUCAGUCAAACAUUUUAUAAAUUGUCUAGACUUUAAGAAGUUCCCUAAGUUUUGAUAAAGAAAAUUGCUCUUGCAAUGUUUAAUUAGCUUUAAAUAUUUCCAAUUUCACGCCUCCAAUAUAUGUCCCUAAACAAGUUAGAAUUUCAAAGAAAACUAUUUCCCAGUAUAAGCCAAACAAGAAAAAAUCUAAAUUAAGGUUUCACAUUUAUUAUAUUCUGAUGUUUGUCUUCUCUUCCCUUGAAAAAUUCUUCAGUCUAUCGGUUCAUCAGAAAAUAAUUAAUUUAAUAUUAAUAAGCUGCAAUUUAAGGUACCAUAGCUUUUUAGCCUAUCUUAUGGCACUUCACACAGUAUUAAAGGUGGUUUAAUAGUUUUGCAUUUACUACCUGUUCUGUUAAUAUAAUAGAGGUUUUUUACAAUUUGUAAUAUAUUUUAAAUCCCUGAGGUGUUUUAAAAAUGCAUUCAAUAUUCAUGCAAAUACUUCACAUAAGUAUACACCAGGUAAACUUAACACUGGCCUAUUUGUGGUUUCUUUUAGCUUGUACAAACCCACUAAUUUUAAUGUUUUGUUAAGGUCCAAGACCAUUCAUUCCUCUGAUCUCAGCUCAAACACCUGGAUCUCAGAGGAUUCAUCUCUUCUUAUUGCCACCUACAGUCUCAUCAAUUCAUUUUCUACUUUUUGCUUUCAAUUUUGUAUCACAAGUAAUUUAACCUUGUUACCAGUUUUGUUGAGUCUUGACACUUCAAAACACAAUUAUAUAGAGCUUAAUUAACUCAUUUGGUGCAUCAAUUUUACCUUUUUUUUAAGUCUAAAUUUUUAGCAUUGUACUUCCAUUGAACUAAAAUUUACCUAUCAUGGCACAAAAAAACACAAAAGCAUCAAAACACAAAAAUAGCUACUAAUUUUGCCCCAUCAUUCUCAUAGUUACCAUUAGAAUAUACCACAUGGAUUUACAAAUAAAGAAUUGUUUUUUUCCAUUGUACCAAUAUAGGCUGGCCCACUGACUGAAAGAAUACUGUUCUUGAAUAUUCUCAUAAUGUCAACUUUGAUCUGAAAAAAACACUCAGACAACUAGGCAAGUUACUGACAUAAGCAGUGUCUGAGAACAGUCAUUCUCAGAUGGAAGAGAGCUCAGCGGUUUAAAAUACACUAAGAAAAAAAAAUCUCUGUCUUGAAAAUGACACUAAUAUAGAGCUCUCUGAACUAAUUUUUUUUCCGUGACGUUACUCCACUAAUUUCACAUAUUUUGAUUUGCACCAUAUUAAACUGUAGGAAGAGAGAAUUCCACAAAACAUCUGAGAACACUUUAAACUGACUGAGCACAAUUACACCAGUUAUAACAAUGGACUGUCUUAGUCUUAGAAAACUUUAUUAGCUACUAACCACUAACGGUUGUGAGAUCUUGAAUUCUGUAUGACAUCUGAUACGUAGGAGUCAUGACCAUUAAUUAUUUUAAAAAUACUGUAAUCGUAAACUUCCUUUAAAAAUGCCUACAAAGCAGCCAGUGAUUUCCUAAAUCUGUUAAUGCAGUAUUAUUUUGACAUGGGUCUGUAGAUACAACAAUUUUAUUAAGUGCAAACUCUAAUAGAUCUGCACUUGAUAAUAGUACGAGUGGAGGGAAAAACAAAAAAAUACAUAUGUGCCUUGCUUAUGCCUGCCCAAUAGCAAAUGGGUGACAGAAUAAAAUAAACAAUAAAUAAAUCAAUAAAUAAACCCACCAAGUUUACAGCAAUACUUUUACCAAUACCUCCACUCAAUUUUACUAGUUGUUAGCAAAGGUUGUAUUCAGGUUGUAUUCUGUAUUUAAUCCCUGGAGUUUAGUAAAUUAGUGUGUAGUUUUUAUUGUUUGGUGGGUUUUGUGAGUUUGUAUUGUGCUUCUUUUGGUUUCUGUUUGGUCUGAAUUUUUUUAAAUGCCACUAUUAUUUUUGUUUUUCUGAGUGAAAAGUUUGCAAUAACCAGGACUUAUGAGGUUCCAUGUGCAAGAAGUAGAGUCAGAUUUUGCUACCUGAAAAAACCAAACCAAACUAAAUAUUAGAAAAUAGAAACAAGUGAAAUAGAAAAGCAAACAAAAACCCCAGACAAAAAACUCCAACCAGUACAUUUUUCUUGUAUUUGUCAUUCACACCAGUACUCCAGGAAAAAAAAAAAUUAAAACCACAAAAAACUGUGUAGAAUAACUAAAUUCUGAAUUGAUUAUGAGUUUCAUGAACAACAGCUUGAAAUAACUAAGUCUACAAGGAGUAUAUUUUCUCUUUUCUUCCUACUUAUGCUCCCUUAUCUCUCACACAGACCAUAGCACACACAGCCCAAACAGAAAGUCAAAUUCUUAUAAUGUAGAGUCUAUCUUUAAAGAAAAAUAUUUAGGGUUUUUUUAAUUAUUAUUUAAGUCUAAAAAAUAACCAAAUGAAGAUUUGAGGGGCAGCUAAAUCCCUAAAAUGGCUUUGAAGUGAUGAGUAUGACCUAAGCACUGAAAAAAAAAUCUCUGCUUUAGCCUUUUAAAAGGCAAUUAUGACAUUUAAUUUUGCAAAUCAUGUAACAGAGAAUAAUAUUUUAACUUGUGUUUUAUUCUCAAUUUUAUUUUAAAAGCUACAUUUUAAACAUUAAUAAAACUCACUACUAACAAGCAUGCAGUAGGCUAAGAGAAGUAAUCUUUAGAAUUUGCAGUUAUAGAAUUCUGGUGAGGCUCUCAGCCUGCAGACUGAGCUCCACUCAUAUUCCACCAUAUAUACUCCACCACAUUGGAGGGGUGGGGGGGGGGGAUUCUUCUUUCAUUUAAAGACUUCUUUUGCUAAAUAAGCUAUUUUGCAUGAAUAUUUCAUCAUUAUUGAAGUCAGAAUAAAACAACCAACCAAAUAAAAACACACAUCACAACAACCCAAUGUUGGAAAAGCUUUUUUUUUGUCCAGGUGAAGAUUGAUCAAACAAGCAGCACUGAAAUAUGUUGCACUUUCUUUUACUGAAUCACUGUUGCCAUUUGCUUUACAGAAGAGUUGACUUGACAGCAUUGAAGAUAACUGCAGUAUCCUACAGUUGUCCGGUCACUCACUGCUAAACUAAUUUUUCCCCAAAAUGCACAUUCUCAGACCUUUAUUAAAAUUUAUAGUUUUAAAUACAAAUAUGCAGAAUAAGAUUUUCAAGCCAUGGAAGCUAUUAGAAAAAAAAAAAAACAAAAACAAAACAAAAAAAAA
ensembl:lncRNA